UACAGAGGUCUCAAGCGUUUGUUCGGAUUCAUUGGGCGUAAAGGGUGCGUAGGUGGCGCGCUAAGUCAGGUGUGAAAUUUCGGAGCUUAACUCCGAAACUGCAUUUGAUACUGGCGUGCUUGAGGACUGGAGAGGAGACUGGAAUUCAUGGUGUAGCAGUGAAAUGCGUAGAGAUCAUGAGGAAGACCAGUGGCGAAGGCGGGAUCCUGGGCCAGUACUGACGCUGAGGAGCGAAAGCGUGGGGGAGCAAACAGG
rnacentral:rRNA from 1 species